AAAUAAACUAUGACGAGAAGAGUAUAUUUAGAUUUUAAUGUUUAGCGAGCAGGUUAUGGUGUGAGUCCUGUCAUUAAAACUUUAUAGAAGAACAUCUCUGAGUUUCUAACCGAAAUCCAUUAAAGGAUAGUAGGCUUAGACGGUUUUCAACCGUUAAAUUUGAAAAAAGCAUUAUUAUGCUUUACUAAGUGGCUAUUUUUAUAGCAAUUUGGGUGGUACCGCGAAUAUGUCCAUUUUCGUCCCAUUG
rnacentral:ncRNA from 1 species